UGUACACGACACAGGGCAAAGGAAAUCCGUGUUCAGCAACUAUGUUAAAUGCCAUGUACGUAAAUUUUACAACGCUACUCGUUCGAAGCGCGCACAGGUGCAUAUUGAAGAAAAGUUUCCAGGGUAGAUAAUUUAGUUCGUAAUUUACACUAAUUUUUCUCUAACCACGAGACAUAAUAAUUUGAAUAUACUGCACGGAAAAACCUAGAGCGAAUUAAAUUGUCUGUCAGCUUCGUGUGUAUACAUAUAGUCUUUCCUAUGCAUUAGGUUUUUUGCGUAAUGCAUUAACAGUUGACAGCCUAUCUUAUGAUGUGUACUCUGUUUACAUUACAGUUGUUUAUUAGUUUACUCGUUUGUUUUGCGACUGAUGAAAUGCCGGCAUAUAUAUAUUUUCAACAUUUGACAUAACCCUGUAUGUUUUGCAGGGACCACCCAGGACGUGCAUUUCUCAGCACCCAGUCAACUGCCAAAAGUGACUCAAACACAGGCCACCAGUGGAACUCGGCUGUACCACUGCAGUGCUGCGGAAAUUGCCUUCACCACCGGCUUUGCAACAGCUGUUUUGCAGCAUGUCGGAGACAAUGCCUACGAAAUUAUUGGCCCUGAUCAUGAGAGCCCUCAAGGGGCAAACAACAUCUCUGUUGCAGAAGUGAGCCCGAUACCACUUGGAAGUUACCAUGACAGAUGACACGGCAGCAAUAGAUACAGAGACUGCCAUGUCUACUGCAGCUGCAACAGUGUACGAGGCAAGCAGCAGCGCGUCAGCAUCAGCAGCAGUGUCAGAAGGAACCACACCAGGCCUGGUAGAGCAACAUGUGUGCUAUCACUGACUUUUUUUGUAGUGGAUACAACUCAUUUGCUCAACACACAAAAGCUUUUCACCACGACUGUGAGCCAGUGUUAUUGUGCAGCAAGUGCAAGACUAAGUUAGGUGUUAUAACACAGUACAAGCAUCACUUUAAUAUAUGCAAAUGCAAACAUAUUACAGUUGUUGCCUCCCCAGCCAGCCCACAUAGUGACAACAAUGUGGAACACAUGGUGGGACACACCUCUCCCCCAUUACAAGAUAGUAGAGACUGUCAGUGUUGUUGCUAGAUUGACUGGUCUUUGUAGGCAACUAGAAGGACAACACAGGUGUAAUAAGAUUGUUGUUGAUGUUGUUGUUGAAGAGGUAAAAAAGAAGUUUGAUGCAGCUGAAGUGCCAACUGAUAUUGAGCAAAUCAAAAGCAACCACCUGAGAAAGCAACACUAUCGAAAUUUGGGUAUCUAUGUGCCGCCAACUCUGGUAAGAAUGGCAUAGGACAGAAGUGUGAUGAAAAUCACACAGACACUGCUGUUGCAUGACUGGCCACAGUGAGCAGCGACUUGUAGGGCAAGAGAGUCAACUGAAACUAACAUUAUGAUAUAGUGUCAUGCUCCCAUGUGACCACUUUUCAAGUUAUUUUGCAAGAUACAGCUCAACCUCCAGAAACGAGACUGCAAGUUGUCUGUAAAAAAGCUUUCACAAAAAAUUAUUCAUAACACUAUUAACAUAGCAGUAUCUUUUUUUGUGUGUUGGUUCGAGGUUCGCGGCUGUCCAUUAAUGCGAAAAUUGAGGAAAAAAAGAACAUGUGUCGUACUUACACCUUUUUAACAAGUACGAGGGGGACAGAACUUUUCUAGUCAUGCAUCUUCAUCAUACUAUCAAGUUUUUAAAUGCCUUUUAUAAUUAUUAUUACCAGUUAUAUCUGAGUGCAUUGUAUGCAUGUAGCAGGUGUAAAAUCAGGUCAGUUGGAUCAGAUGCCUUAUCUGCAAGCGAGCCCUAUAUUCAAGAAAUUUGAAUUAAAAUAGUUACGUUAGAGACGCAGUCUUUCAGCACUUUAUUACCUGUGGUUUAAGCAUUGCUCAAUACUUUUGUGGGUGGCAAUUUCAACCGGCACAGCACUGCGCUUUGCCACAGUCACAUUUGUCUUCAAAGCGGUGUUUACCAUUUGUGUUGAUCUGUUUGUGUACGCAUAGAGCAAGUUCUUAAUUUAUAUUUUUCUGCAUUCUUGCGCUUGCACUAAGCUUGUAUAAGGCAGUUACAAAAUGUGCGUCACGAUAAGGAACUGUUCUGUUGAGCUUACACUUGCAAAUAAUCGUGUUCAGAUGGCCGCACUUCUAUGCGGGUGCACCGCUAGCUUUGUGUAUGUUCUCAUGUUUGUAUAAAGCUUAUAUAAGCUAGUUAGAAAAUGUAUGUCACUAAGCAUUGUGAUAUUCUUUAAAGAACUGCUUGGUUGGUUUUACACUUGUGAAUUAGUAUUGAGGCGGUGGUAUUCCCAUGUAUGCCCACUGCUAGCUUUCUGUGUCCUCACGUGUUUGUAUUAAGUUUCUACAAGGGAGUUACAGCAUGUACGUCACUAAGCGCUGUGAUAUUUUUUAAAGAACUGCUUUGUUGGUUUUACACCUGUGAGUAAUAGUACUCGGGUGGCACUAGUCAUGUGUAGGUACACAGGGACCAUUUGUAUACAUUAUGCUCAUGUAAAGCAGUUACAAAGUGUCACUAAUUACUGUGAUAUUUGUUGAAUUGCUGUGAUGGUUUUACACAUGUGAAUAAUAGUGGUCAGGACACAGUACUUGCGGUGUAUAGUUGAAUUUAUACACUGCCAAGACAUGGGCUGUAUACGUACCAAAAGAAAUGUAUGUCAUUAUAUUGUUGUGAUUAUUACUGUUUGGAUUUUA